UUGGAGGGCAAGUCUGGUGCCAGCAGCCGCGGUAAUUCCAGCUCCAAUAGCGUAUAUUAAAGUUGUUGCAGUUAAAAAGCUCGUAGUUGAAUUUCGGGAUCAAAUUGCCGGUCGUGCCUCGGUACGCACUGGUAUUAUUGGUUCCUACCUUCUGAAGAACCGCGAUGUCAUUAAUUUGGUGUCGUGGGGAAUCAGGACUGUUACUUUGAAAAAAUUAGAGUGUUUAAAGCAGGCUUACGCUUGAAUACAUUAGCAUGGAAUAAUGAAAUAGGACGUUUGAUUCUAUUUUGUUGGUUUCUAGGAUUGACGUAAUGAUUAAUAGGGAUAGUUGGGGGCAUUAGUAUUCAUUUGUCAGAGGUGAAAUUCUUGGAUUUAUUGAAGACUAACUACUGCGAAAGCAUUUGCCAAGGAUGUCUUCAUUAAUCAAGAACGAAAGUUAGGGGAUCGAAGACGAUCAGAUACCGUCGUAGUCUUAACCAUAAACUAUGCCGACUAGGGAUCGGAUGAUGUUAAUUUUUUAAUGACUCAUUCGGCGCCUUACGGGAAAC
rnacentral:rRNA from 1 species